AUGGUCCAACUACAAAACUUCUUCUUUUUCAUUACUUCCAUGGUCGUGCCCCGUGGCACGGCAGCACCCGUACUAUUGAAAUGGUUCAUCAGUAGAGAUGUUCCCACUGGUGCCUCUUCUUCAAAUGGUACUAUAAUUCCUAUUCCUAUCCCUUUAUUCCCGUUUUUGUUCUAUCUACAUUUAAGGAAAUUCAUACGCUCCAUGGACAGAGAAAAAAGUGGUGUGUUGGUCAAAGCAAGCCGCCCUAUUCUAUUACUAGACAAAAGGGAGAGAAGCUCAUCGGCUAGAAAUGCUUUACUUCAUUUCGUUCCCGUUCUUCACUUCCUUAUUAUCGAAUCCAUGGGGGACUUGUCAUAUUUAGAAUCUUUCUGA
rnacentral:rRNA from 1 species